rnacentral:rRNA from 1 species
CCUACGGGAGGCAGCAGUGAGGAAUAUUUGUCAAUGGGCGAGAGCCUGAACCAGCCAAGUCGCGUGAAGGAUUGCGGCCCUACGGGUUGUAAACUUCUUUUGUCAGGGAGCAAUUGAGUCCACGUGUGGUCUUAGCGAGAGUACCUGAAGAAAAUGCAUCGGCUAACUCCGUACCAGCAGCCGCGGUAAUACGGAGGAUGCGAGCGUUAUCCGGAUUUAUUGGGGUUAAAGGCGGCGUUGGCGGAAUAUCAAGUCGGCGGUAAACAUUCGGGUCUCAACCCCGUCGUGCCGUUGAAACUGAUGUUCUAGAGUGGGCGAGAAGUAUGCGGAAUGCGCGGUGUAGCAGUGAAAUGCAUAGAUA